GUAUGAUGGAAUUUCUGCUUCCUUCAGUUUGAACCUCUGAAUGCAUCUAUUUAUCGCUGUGCUGAUAUUACACGUGCAUGUCACGUGCUGUACCCACAUGUUAUACUCAGCAAUCAUCACACGCACGGCACGUCCGCUUACUCACGGCACGUUCGCACUCCAAAACCUUCUUCCAGUGUUCUGCAUUCAUGUCGGUUUCACCCAUACUUAGCGCUGUCAGCCGCGUCAUCGUCAACCAUCGAUGCAAAUCCUUCUCUUUUGCCUUAUCAUUACCUUCUCUCUGCUGAGCAGCUACCAUCUCCCUUUCAAUAUAUUCGCUCGAUUCUCUACUUAUGGUGUGGUUGGACAAACGAGCAGCAGCAACAAACUCUCUCAUUUCUUUCAAGAGCUCUGGAGCCACGAUGGGUGACACUCUUGGUUUGACCGACAUUUGCAGAGGCACCUUGGAAUCGGUCUCUGCCACAACCGAUUUUGUUGGCACCGUUGAAACUACGAUUGUGGGAACAUCAACUGGUAAUUUCAUCUGGUGGUACUCGAAGUCGUACUCUACCUCUUGCAUUUCAAUGAACUCUUUCAACGCGUUAACAUUACGCACACCGAUAUCACCUAGCUUUCCAGUGGAAAGCCUUGUUUCGUCUAAAAUCAAGCAUGUUCCUGAAGCGAGUUGCAGUGGACCAGAGCGCAGCCGAUCGGUGCCAUAAUCUUUUUUGGGCACCCAUUGCCGGGAAUUGAGGCUCCCUAGCGUAAGUUGGAGAUAUGCGACUGCAGGGGCAAUGUCAGCGAUAGCCGCGGCAAGUGCCCGCGCGACUGUCAUACCACCAUCACCGCUGUUUCCAGGCUCGUUAUCAACAGGGACACCAAGUAAAGUUACGGAAAAUUUGCCGAUUGGUAUUGCAUCUGUGCGUACAUGAACGCGAGAAAGCAACGCAUAGAGGACAUACUCAGCAGCAGUGGCAUCAUUACCGAGCGGUGCCGAAAGGUGAUCGAUCAAUGCAGCACGCACUUUCGCCCUGCGGGCAAAAAGUUCAGAUUUUCGCAUUAGACAAAGUGCCUCACACGCUGCAAUCGGAUAUAGCCCAGCCCUGGAAACAAACUCGUGUGUCGAAGUUGAACGGAAAAUGAUGGCGUGGAAGCGAGGGACCAAGGACGUCGGAGGAUUGCGUGCACGUUCUUCCUCCAUAAAGUCCAUCAUGGGCUGAAAUGUCACCGCAUUAUUGCUACUCUUCGUCGUAAAUGCGCCCUCUGCAUCUGCACGUUCCGGCUCAGAGGACAGCCCGGGCACGAUAGAUAACACGCCAACUAACUCAACCACAUCAUUCAGCUUCAGCUUGCAAUCGCCCCCGUACAUUUUCACAAUACACGGUGUGGAAGCAGGUAGUUGACCUAUAGAAUUUACAUCGCUCACGUUGCCAAGGGGAAGAUUCAAAACAGCCUUAAGCGUUUCUCCGUCGGUACUCCUUUUUGCCUGUUCUACAUCGGCAGUGUCUAUCGACCUCGUAUGGAGCGAUUUCAGUUUUGACUCAGAUAUUAACGUUGUGGCGAAAUGUGCGCAAGUACCAAGCUUUUGUUCUGCUUCGUCACACGGCACCACGUUUUCGCCCCUCGGUCUUUUUGCACAUAUAGAUGUUGCACACGUUUUCCAUGGGUAAACACUAUCGCGUUUGCUAUCCAACCGCCGCAGCCAGACGCUCUCGCCUGGAAUAGGCACACAGUACAGAAUGCGUCUCUCCCAUAUUUUUUGUUCGCGCGAGCUUCCUCUGCCCAACACGGGCUCAACCUCUUCGGUAUACUUCGUCGUCUUCCAGCGUCCAAGGGUAGUUUCGUCUUUGUAGGCGCCAACAUAAAACUCCGGAUUGUACAUAUCCUGCACCAUGCAGCGAAAACGGACCAAUGUUCCUUGGCGCACAGCAUCGACGCCAAUAUUGUUGAUCUCCGGGAUCUGCUCGCACGUUAUGUAAGAAAACAAAACGAAGUGACAACGAGGAUGCGCAUCGAACGAACGAUCAUGACAACGAAGGAGCCGAAUGCGUCAUUUUCGUCAUUUAUUUACGCUAAAAAUAAAGUAAACCAACUGUGCCGCGGCGCACCGUUUCGAGCACUCCGGGUACGGCGAGCGCUUCCUCAAAAACGGCGGAGACCCCCCAGUCGCCGUCGCCGUCUGGUUCCGAAGUUCCGGUUGCAGCGUCAAAAAGCGCAGCGACGGUGCCCAGGGGGUCGACGACACACGAUGGGUAGUUCUGAGACAUUCUUGCGGUGUUCGGAGCCCCCCGUGGUUGCUUGUCUGGUGGACAGCAGUGGACAGCGAGCUUUUUCCUAUUGUAGAAGGUGGCCUGUAGGAGCGCUUCGCUGCACGGUAAACGGGGGCCUCUAAACUCAAUCGAUCAGUUUCACCGGAGAAACUGCCAAACACGCCGAUCAACGAAAGUACGAAAGUACAACGUUGUACUUUCGAAAGUAACUUUGUACGAAAGUACUUCCGUACAACGUGUACCCGUUGUUUUUUUGAGUUUGGAUUUCAGUACAACGUACACGUGCGUACAACACAGUAGACAGAUAUUUUCUGCUGCGAUUAUGCGUACGUCCGAUGCUACACGUAGGGCUACGUGUACAGCUGUACACGUACACGUACACUGUCACCCAUUAUUUAAAAGUCUUAGGCUGGUGGGCAGCUCCCAAAAUAAAAUGUCGAAUUAAAUGUUUUUUUUAUGGUUAGGGCUACAAUAAAGUGGUGUGUAGGACGCUUUGCAAUUAAAAUCGCACCCAAUGAUUCGGAAACGAAAGCACGUUUCAGUUCGGCAGUUUUCCGGGGGUCCCAAAGUAAAAAGCACGCCUCCAUCAUCAGGGCUCAUCGCGGUCGUGAUUUCGCGCUUGGGCUCCCCGGCAUCAGGGAGCUACGCGCGCCAACAGCCAGUCUGCGGCGCCAGACGAAAAAAAACCGAAAAACGCGUACUACAGCAAAAACUACUUGGCGACAUACGGGGUGAUUUGAUGGGUCAUAACUCAAAACAUAAUUGCGACAUUUAAUUCCCGCCGAGAGCCCGAUUCAUAAUUGUAUUCAUAAUUGCAAACGCUAUGGGGCGAUUUGACGAGUUAUGACUCAAAACAUUUAAUUCAACAUUUAUGAACGGGACCUGCCCACCAGCCUUAGUACUGUCAUCGUGCAAAGUUUCGCGCGCAGACGUGCAUCGCGCGCGGAGGAGUAGUGUUUCGCGCGUACACUUUUGUAGGGCUAUGUGUUCUUCGUCACGAGUAUUUUUUUGUGUGUUUUUAUCGAAUUUAUACGUACGGAAGUACAAUAAUGUACGAAAGUACUUAUCCUUCGUACGAAAGUACUUUAGUACUUCCGUAGAGGACUACGUGUACAUACAACUACGAUGUACCUUCGUAUUGUACAUGUAUGCUUAAUACCUUUCGAAGGUACUUUCGUACAAAGUACGAAAGUACGAAAGUAGGUACUUUCGUACAAAGUACGAAAGUACGAAAGUAAUUUUUAAUAUCAGCCCUACAUUUCGUAUGCACAUUCAGUCAUCUCGGAAAAUGCUCAUAGGACGUCACUGACUGAUCAAUCUGAAGAUCUGCCGGAACGGGGGCUGUCGGGGGGAGUCACUCAGCAUCGCAUCCUAUGGGCAUUUUCGUGUGACUUUUUGGUUUUUUCCCUACCGGGGGUCGAGCAGGGGUAGUAUUGUUGGGGUCUGACUAGACUAUUCCGAAGCUCACCUUCGGCUUCACGAAUGGAGCAGAAGUAUAUUUGCACUCAUAGUCUCAUAAGUCAACUUGCCUUAUUCGUACAAGUCAAAUACAACUUUGUAACAACAAAAUGUAGUGAAAAACCAAGUGCAAAGUCGGCUUUUAAGGUCACGCUCCGCUAAUUAAAUUUCCCGUGCCAAAAGUACGAAAUUUGUAUGCGUAUUUAGUGAAAAAAAAGACUCCUUAGGGGUCAGAAAACCGUCUUACCGACCUUCUAAAAUCGCGAAACUUUGUGAGGGCAACGACGGCGUGAUGGACACCAUCGUGACGAGGUUUCAAAUCGAUCGACGCCGCUACGACGCGUGGGCGCGCGCAAAAGUACGUUUUUGCGAUUUAGACAAAUACGCAUACAAAUUUCGUACUUUUGGCACGGGAAAUUUCAUUACCGGAGCGUGACCUUAACUGCAAUAUGUUAGCGGAUAACGUCACUUGUCUCGUCAUUCUGUGGACACGGUGCAGUCCAUCCAGCACCACUGGUAAGUGUCGUAGACAAAGAACCUGGGAGUUGUGGUCCACUGUAUCCAUAUUUUGAAACUAUCCUUUCGUCAUAAACAUGUUCAGCAUCAUUUUUCAGCUCGUUCGGAGUUAAGCGAUGUUCAAUACCCAUGCUGUCUGCAGCGGUAAACUUAAACUUAAUACAGAGGAGAUCACUACAAGAUUAAGUAGGAGGAGCCGUUAGUAACGCACUUUGUAGAUUCUGGAUCGAAGAAACAGUUUUUGAUGUCUUUUUGUUUGGAGCCGCCAGCGAAACAACCUUCUUGCUUUCCGUGCUCGUGCAGUCCUAAUGCGUAUUGUCGUAGGAAUCUUAAAACUAUAGAUAACAAAGGUUCGUUUUGAUCAACACAGCCACACCUGUCGCCUCUUUCGGGUCUGAAAUUCGUGAGACGGCUCAUAUUUUGGUAGAUCCUGAGGUGAGCACGGUAUUGGCUCUUCCCAAAAAUAAUCUGAAUCUAAAGCAUCUCUUGCAGAUAUGCGAUGAGUUGGAUUUAGGGUCAAAAAACUUUCUACAAGAGAUCGUGCACUCUGGUGACAAGAAGUAAGAACCGUUCCCUGAGUGACAACGUAUAUAAAAAAACAACCCUUGAAAACCGCCGGAACACAUCUUGAACUCUACGUGGAAAUCGUUUCUUGCCAACGAAAGAGCUUGCCCUAGUAUACGGAAAAAAAACUUAAAAGGUAAGCACAUCAAAAUAAUUGAGGCAAAAUUAAUGAAAAUGUGCUCUCAUACCAAGGAAGCAAUUCAACCUCAGGCCAGUCCACCGGUACAGGAGAACCACAGAGCUUGAACAUCAAGUCGAGCUGCUCCAACUCAUUUUUACCCUGAUCGUGGUUGCUGAGUCAUUUCUAUUGUUAACAGGUAUCAUUCAAUUAAUCGAAUGGACAAACCGGUAAAAUUGGCUUUCCAAGAAGUAGUUCAGCAAAUAUGCACCCUGCGGACCACAUGUCUACUGCAGGACCAUAAAACUGUGUCCCAAGAAGUAAUUCUGGAGGUCUGUACCAGAGUGUGAUAACUCUAUUUGUUAAUGUCUUACUACUUUCAGAGGCACAUGACCUGGCGAGGCCAAAAUCUGCCAAUUUCAAUAUACCAUUGUUAUCUAUUAGCAGAUUUGAUCCUUUUAUGUCACGGUGUAGUAUGUUGUUACGAUGGCAAUAAUAAAGCCCUGUCAGGAGUUGUUUCAUAUAACACCUGGGCUGGCGAGAUAGUAAGUGCCAGCGUUAAAUUCAAACCAAAUCCGAACACGCACUUUAUCUGAGGCUCCGAGAACUUCAUUCCAGGCCGGUCUGCAAGUCCCGUAAGGUCAUGGUCCAUGUACUCAAAAACCAUGUAGAUGCUACCCUUAUUCUGGUUCAAAGCAUGAGCCUGUUUGACAUACAUUUUUUUGUGUUGAUCAGAUGCAUGUGGUAAACAGCCGAAGAAAGCUACAGGGUUGGAAGCUCGUCUCACCUUCGACGUCACUAUUUCUUUCAACUUGAUAACAUUCUUAUGAUCCAAUGAUUUUAAUAUUUUUAUUUCGCGUAUAGCUGUAAUUGGAAAACCUUCCUUUUCAUUAUCCAUUCUGACUUUCUUUAGAGCAACUAUUUCUCCAGUUGUGUUGCUUCGAGCCAUGAAGACCUUCACAAAAAAACCAUGUUCAAGUGCCAAAUCAGCGUCAAAGAGCACGCGCUGCUCUGCUCACCUGGCCGUAUGUACCCUCGCCGAUUUGUUCCAUUUUUUCAUAGUUCUCCACGGAACGGGAACAUCCGCUCCGCAUAGUAUCAACGAAGUGAUGUGUUUGAAACGAUCGUGGUAGUGUUGUUCCACCUUCUCGACACAUCUGUAGACGAACACGAUAAUCUGGACUACUGUACGUGUAAACUGUACAGUAAGCGUACGACGAAGUGCACCGUACGUGUUGCACGUGUAACGUUGUACACGUACUUUCGUACGAAAAUACGAAAGUACGAAAGUACGCUGGUACUUUCAAAGUACGAAGUACAGUCUAGCUACACGAGGUACACGUGUAGCUCUAGCUAGCUCUAGCUAGCUACCCUACACAUGUACGUGUACACGUACAGUACGCCCUUUACGGUCACGCUCCGAUAAUGAAAUUUCCCGUGCCAAAAGUACGAAUUUUGUGUGCGUAUUUUGUCUAAAUCGCAAAAAUCGUACUUUUGCGCGCUCCCACGCGCCGUCGCGGCGUUUGUCAAUUUGAUACUUCGUCACGAUGUUGUUCAGCACGCAGCCGAUGCCUUCGCAAAGUUUCGCGAUUUUAGGAGGCCUAGAAGACGGUUUUCGGACCCCUCAGCGACUUAUUUUAAAAAGGCUCCUUAGGGGUCGGAAAACCGUCUUCCCGACCUCCUAAAAUCGCGAAACUUUGAGAGGGCAACGACUGCGUGAUAGACACCAUCGUGACGAAGAUUCAAAUCAAUCCACGCAGCGACGGCGCGUGGGCGCGCACGAAAGUACGUUUUUUUGCGAUUUAGACCGUAUACGCAGACAAAUCUCGUACUUUUGGCACGGGAAAUUUCAUUUAUACUGGAGCGUGACCUUAACUCGCAUAGCGGGAAUUGACAUGCAUGCAUAGGGCCUACAGUACGUGUAGAACCCUUCCAGCCAAAUAUCACGUAUCCGGGCACUACUUUCGUACGUACGGAAGUACUUUCGUACAGUACGGAAGUACUUCCGGAAGUACUAGCUAGGCCUACUGUAUUUACGUUGUACCUUCGUACGAAGGUACGAAAGUACGGAAGUAGUACUUCCGGGAGUGCUGUACGGAAUUACUUCCGGGAGUACUGUACGGAAUUACUUCCGGAAGAAGUACUUCCGGAAGUGAAGAUACGGAAGUACUUCCGGAAGUACAACUAACGUUGUACGAAAGUACGAAAGUACCUUCGAAGGUACUUUCGUACUUUCGUACUUCCGUACUUCGGAAGUACUUUCGUACGAAAGUACGAAAGUAUCAUUACUUCCGGAAGUACAACUACUUCCGGUACAACGUAGUACGGAACGAAGUACUUUCGUACUUUCGUACGAAAGUACUUCCGUAUUAUUGUACAUACACGUACAAUAAAUACUGUGCUUCCCCGAUAGGUACUGUCUACCUUCGUACGAAAGUACGAAAGUACCUUCGAAGGUAAAUCUUAUUGUACAGUGUACGUUGUAGUCUAAAUAGUACGUACGGAAGUACGUGUACUUUCGUACUUUCGUAUUAUCUUAUCUAUUAUGGUUAGGUGGGCGUAUUGCUGUGGUUUUAUUGUCAUAGGACGCGAUGCUGAGUGACUCUCUACAGUAGUCCUCUCUUGGUUGGGAACUGCCAGUCAUUCUGUUCAGGUAAUACUCAAGUGCCUUCGGCUUCGCCGUCGGUAGUUGGGAGAAGGGGCACGGCAGGGUAUUUAGUCUGAUAAGUACGGAAGUUCGUGUAUUGGUUUAAAAAUGGUUUUCAUCUGAAGAGUUCAUCUUCAGGUCCCGUGUGCAUACGAAACUCCAAACGCAUUUGAUAGGCUGAAAUUUUCGUGCCUAGGUCCGGGAAAAACCCCAAAUAUUGUAGCCUCGCUCUCUUGAAUCGAUGUUACCUUCGUACCUCCGUGCAUUUAUGGAACUAAUUUCGGAAUAAUGUUCGACAGGUGAGUUAACUCUCAUGCAUGAUGGCCUGUCCUAUUCUUGAACUCCACUAUGACGAGAACGCGCUCAGACGACAGCAGCGCCGUGUUAGGCAAUCACACAGUAAUAUCACGUAGAUAUUUCAGCUGACCAGCCACCGGGCGAGCUAGGAGACGAGAACGAUGUGCGCCGUCGCACUGUGCAAACUUGAUCUGUGUCGUUCAAAACAUUUCUGACAAUCCGCGAGGGGAGGGGCGCGACCGGGCACGCGCUCGAAUGGGAAACUAGAAUGGGCGCUGCGCGGGCUGCGCGAGCGACAU
rnacentral:lncRNA from 1 species